CCCUUAGAUGUCCUGGGCCGCACGCGCGUUACACUGAUGCAUUCAACGAGCAUAUAACCUUGGCCGAGAGGCCUGGGUAAUCUUGUUAACAUGCAUCGUGAUAGGGAUAGAUUAUUGCAAUUAUUAAUCUUGAACGAGGAAUUCCUAGUAAUCGCAGUUCAUCAAACUGCAAUGAUUACGUCCCUGCCCUUUGUACACACCGCCCGUCGCACCUACCGAUUGAAUGGUCCGGUGAGGACUCGGGAUUGUGGUUUAGCUCCUUCAUUGGGGCCUGACUGCGAGAACUUGUCUGAACCUUAUCAUUUAGAGGAAGGUGAAGUCGUAACA
rnacentral:rRNA from 1 species